rnacentral:rRNA from 1 species
UACGUAGGGGGCGAGCGUUGUCCGAAGUUACUGGGCGUAAAGGGCGCGUAGGCGGCAAUUCAAGUCAUCUGUGAAAUCUCCGGGCUUAACUCGGAACGGUCAGAUGAUACUGCUUUGCUAGAGUGCGGAAGGGGCAAUCGGAAUUCUUGGUGUAGCGGUGAAAUGCGUAGAUAUCAAGAGGAACACCUGAGGUGAAGACGGGUUGCUGGGCCGACACUGACGCUGAGUGCGCGAAAGCCAGGGGAGCAAACGGG